CAAAUUCUUUAUGCAUUUUAAAGAAGCUCAAUCAAGCUCACAUCAUAGAUAAUGCAUUAUGGCUAUUAUGAAUGAAGGCCCUCAUCCCCAAACUAAUUUUUCUCAAUUUUAGUGUUUAUUAAAUGGAUAUACAUAUUUAUGAUUUAGGUUAAAUAUAUCUUUCUCAUCCAAUAAUUUAACUUUUUUAUUAACUGUUGAACUACUUGUCCUGAUCAUACACAGAAGGGGCUUGUGUGUGUGUUUGUGUGUGUGUGUGUGUUCACAGCAGAAUCACAGUCAGUGAGAACGUAUUGGCAAGGGCAGAAAGGAAGCAUGGUUUGAAACCGCACUCUUCUCCAACUUCUAGCUAGGUAAGUUUGCCAGGAGCUAAAAGUUUUGGUGUUUAGAGGGGUGCCUUUGGACAUUUAUUUUAAAUAGAGAAAAUAACUUUUGUUUCCUCAGAAAGGCAACUUUUUAAUUUCUCAAUUUUCCCAUCCAAGGGGAGGCAGAAAGAAUGUUCUUUGGCCUCCACUCACCUGGAACAGGUCAAAUGACCUCACCAUUCCAUUCCUCUACUGCAAUGCAGCCGGUUAUCCUGAAAAUAAGAAACACACCGAAACUCACCACUUUCUAGCCCUUCAUCCUUGCAAAAUUAACCCAGAACACAAACAGGGAGCUGGAUUAUCUGUUCUGUUGUUGACUGGUUUUAAAUGUUCCAUUUAUACUGAUAAAAACGUAAGGUGUAUUCCUAUGUAAGCAAUAUUGAAACAUGAAAAACUUGUUCACAUAAAUUUGAAGGGAGAAGUGAAAAUAUACACUUUACAAAUUGAUUCUUUACAUCUUGAAGAUGGAUUUACAACAGUAUUACUUUAUACAAAUUCCUACUUUAUACAAUUUUUUGUUUAGGCAGCUUUUCAGUAACAUUUCUAUAAUAAGUUACACAUGAAGCCUCCCAAAAGAAAGCUGAGAAGCUUAAAAUAGCCACAUGCAAAGGAUUGAUGACAGAGGGGCAAAGAGGGCGAAGCCAUCACACUGCUGCUUCAUAGUCACUAGGAGUUGAGGGACCCUGACCCUCAUACAUAGCUCAAUAAAGGCCGACACUGGGAUCUUCAUUGCUUUCCUCAGCUUGUCUUCCCAAGAAGCAAUGUUUCAUCAGAAGGGAUUGGGUUUUCGCCAGCACUAUGGCAAGGAAAGACUAUUUUAAUAUAGGCUGACACUAGCAUGGACUAGUAUGUAGUUAGUCUGAUAAUGAAUAACCAGCUCUGGCUUAAUGCUUUACAAUGGGCAAUGACUCUUAAAAUCCUUGUUGUCCAAUUCUGUCUCCUGUUACAGGUAUAUAGCAUCUGGAAUCCAUUCCGGUAUGUGUCAUAUGGCAAGAAACAUAGGCAAGACUGAGCCCAGAAAAACACCCAUGGGUACUAAAUACCAAUCAAUACCUGCUCCAAGCCAGAAGCAGGUCUUAACAGACUGCCAAAUAUCCAUCAAGAUUUUUUAAGUGAAAUACAAAGAGGCAGAAACCCAUUACAAAGGGCCUUCAGAGUACAACCCAAAUCAGUAGAGAGCCAUGUUUCACCCUCUUCCAGGUAGAGAUCUACUCUAUUCUUAGGCUAAUCUUGCACUAAUACCCAAAGGGCCAUGUUGCUUUUGAUGGUGGGUAUAAUGGCAAAUCAGGUGCAUUUCAGACACUUCUGCCAAAAUAUCCAAAGCCUCAUUUUCUUAAGCUCUUCACUGGAGAAUGAAGCAGGGAAAUUCAGGUUUUUAACAACCUCCAUCACCACAAGUGGCAUCUCUCCUUUAGGUUAACUUAAGAUAGAAAAAUGAAUCCCACCUCCUAGGAUACUGAAACGAAGCUGUAAAGAAGUCAACUUCCUUUACAUAGUCCAAAUUACAUAACCUUUCUCCAGGAUAGAGGCUACAUAUAAUCAAGCCCUUUAUUCUAUAUAAGAAAUCCCCCAAAGUCUAAUCUGGAAGGAAAAACAAAAAACAAACAGUAUUCAUUUAGGACUACUGAGAUGGAAACUGAAGUGUCAGUUUCCAUGUGCAUUUUAUCAUUUUCCCCUACAAGUUCAGAGGUUUCUCUGGUACAGGCCAGCUUCACAGCUAACACACAAUGAAACAUGGUUUUUAGAUCACAUCAGUCUGUAGUCAUUUUAGGGAUACAACAAAGGCAUAAACUGGAAAGUAAACGUUAUCUGUGUUCAUUAGUAGUGUGAUGGUGUACAAGGUAGGAGGAAUACUGUAGGAAAACUGGAAGAUAAAACCCAGGCUUUGUUAUUUACUAGUAGUACAGUGUAGCUUUGGGCAACUGACAUUCUCUUUAAAUUCAGCAUCAUCACACAUAAAAUGAUCAGUGGUUCUCAUCCAGGGAGGGAGUGGUUCAAAUACACACAUGCCUACCUUUUCUAACUCACUCAGAGAUACAAAGAUCUGACUUCCUCAAAGAUGCUAUUGUCAGGGACUGUGUACCACCACCCACAGGUGAAGAAGAAAAACUAGUGGGGAUGGGGGUAGGGGUUGUGCUUACUAAGAUGGCAAAAGCUCUCUAAAGGCAGUGGCUUUAUAUUAGCAGCAGGGUCUCCUUUUAAGCUUAAUUUCUCAAUGGAAGGUGAGGACUGGGACAGUUGGCAUCCUAUCUCAAAGUCGGGGGUGAUGGAGGGGAUUCUAAGAAUUUGAAUACUAACAAGGCCAAACCACGAUGAUUCCAAAUUGUACUCUGGAGACUAUUCUUCUCUAUUGGCCCCAGAACCACCAUCAGACGAAGAGAAACAUCACAACAACUGCAGAAAACUGCAGACAACUAGAAGUCAUUCUUAAAGAGAUUUAAUUAUUUGAAGUGCAUAAAAGGGGAGGGUACAUUUAAACCUCUGCUAUA
rnacentral:lncRNA from 1 species